AAACAUCGCCUCUUGCAAAUUAAUAAAUAAGAGGUCCCGCCUGCCCUGUGACUAUAAGUUUAACGGCCGCGGUAUUUUGACCGUGCGAAGGUAGCGCAAUCACUUGUCUUUUAAAUGAAGACCUGUAUGAAUGGCAUAACGAGGGCUUAACUGUCUCCUCUUUCCAGCCAAUGAAAUUGAUUUUCCCGUGCAGAAGCGGGAAUACAAACAUAAGACGAGAAGACCCUAUGGAGCUUUAGACACCAAGGCAGAUCAUGUUAAUAACCCCGAAUAACGGACUAAACAAGAUGGAGCCUGCCCUAAUGUCUUUGGUUGGGGCGACCGCGGGGAAUUAAGAAACCCCCACAUGGAACGGGAGCACCCCUCCUACAGCUAAGAGCCACAGCUCUAGUAAACAGAAAUUCUGACCAACAAGAUCCGGCAGCGCCGAUCGACGGACCGAGUUACCCUAGGGAUAACAGCGCAAUCCUCUUUUAGAGCCCAUAUCGACAAGGGGGUUUACNACCUCGAUGUUGGAUCAGGACAUCCUAAUGGUGCAGCCGCUAUUAAGGGUUCGUUUGUUCAACGAUUAAAGUCCUACGUGAUCUG
rnacentral:rRNA from 1 species